rnacentral:lncRNA from 1 species
CUCUGCUAACUAUACAGAGAUGAAGGGGAGAGGUAUUUGCAUCCUAUGUGAAAGUAAUUUCAGCAGAACAUUUGCUUAUAAAAUUUCCAGGCAUGGUCUGCAUAAGAACGUCCAUGACUUCCGUCCCAUCUCACAUCAGUUGAGGGUUCCCCAGGAGACUCUCCACCGUUCCUCAGAAGGUUCUGCUUUUAUCUGAGUAUUCAUGUGGGACAGACUCCCAGCUGCUAAGGCAAAAGAGACGGUUACAUUAUAUACAGAAAAAU